AUUGAACGCUGGCGGCAGGCCUAACACAUGCAAGUCGAGCGGAUGAGUGGAGCUUGCUCCAUGAUUCAGCGGCGGACGGGUGAGUAAUGCCUAGGAAUCUGCCUAUUAGUGGGGGACAACGUUUCGAAAGGAACGCUAAUACCGCAUACGUCCUACGGGAGAAAGCAGGGGACCUUCGGGCCUUGCGCUAAUAGAUGAGC
rnacentral:rRNA from 1 species